rnacentral:rRNA from 1 species
GAGUUUGAUCGUGGCUCAGAACGAACGCUGGCGGCAUGCCUAACACAUGCGAGUCGAACGCUUAUCUUCGGAUAGGAGUGGCGCACGGGUGAGUAACGCGUGGGAACCUGCCCUGGGGUGGGGGAUAACCGAUGGAAACGUCGGCUAAUACCGCAUACGUCCUGAGGGAGAAAGAUUUAUCGCCCUGGGAGGGGCCCGCGUCGGAUUAGCUAGUUGGUGGGGUAAUGGCCUACCAAGGCGAUGAUCCGUAGCUGGUCUGAGAGGAUGAUCAGCCACACUGGGACUGAGACACGGCCCAGACUCCUACGGGAGGCAGCAGUGGGGAAUAUUGGACAAUGGGCGCAAGCCUGAUCCAGCAAUGCCGCGUGAGUGAUGAAGGCCUUAGGGUUGUAAAGCUCUUUCGGCGGGACGAUGAUGACGGUACCCGCAGAAGAAGCCCCGGCUAACUUCGUGCCAGCCGCCGCCGUAAU